GAUGAACGCUGGCGGCGUGCCUAAUACAUGCAAGUCGAGCGAACGGACGAGAAUUUUGCUGCUCUGUUGUUAGCGGCGGGCGGGUGUGACACACGUGUAAACCCUCCCUAUAUGAGUGGUAUAAUUUCGGGAAACGGGAUCAAACACGGUAGAAUAUUUUGAUCCGCGGGGUUCAAAGGUGAAAUACGGUCUUUCGGUCACUUCUAGAUGGAUCCGCGCUGCAUUAGCUAGUUGUUAAGUUAAAAGCUUACCAAGGCAACGAGGCAUAAACGAGCUGAGGGGGUGGUAGGCCACACUGGAAGUGGACCACGGUCCUGACUCCUACGGGAGGCCGCAGUAGGGAAUCUUCCGCAGUGGGCGAAAGCCUGACGGAGCAACGCCGAGUGAGUGAUGACGGUCUUCGGAUCGUAAAACUCUGUUAUUAGGGAAGAACAUAUGUGUAAGUAACUGUGCACAUCUUGACGGUACCUAAUCAGAAAGCCACGGCUAACUACGUG
rnacentral:rRNA from 1 species